rnacentral:rRNA from 1 species
UACGUAGGGGGCAAGCGUUGUCCGGAUUUAUUGGGCGUAAAGAGCGUGUAGGCGGCCAGACAGGUCAGCUGUGAAAACUCGAGGCUCAACCUCGAGACGUCGGUUGAAACCGUCUGGCUAGAGUCCGGAAGAGGAGAGUGGAAUUCCCGGUGUAGCGGUGAAAUGCGCAGAUAUCGGGAAGAACACCCGUGGCGAAGGCGGCUCUCUGGGACGGUACUGACGCUGAGACGCGAAAGCGUGGGGGAGCAAACAGG